CCUACGGGGGGCAGCAGUAGGGAAUCUUGCGCAAUGGGCGAGAGCCUGAACCAGCCAAGUCGCGUGAGGGAUGACGGCCCUACGGGUUGUAAACUUCUUUUGUCAGGGAGCAAUUGAGUCCACGUGUGGGCUUAGCGAGAGUACCUGAAGAAAAAGCAUCGGCUAACUCCGUGCCAGCAGCCGCGGUAAUACGGAGGAUGCGAGCGUUAUCCGGAUUUAUUGGGUUUAAAGGGUGCGUAGGCGGAAUAUCAAGUCAGCGGUAAAAAUUCGGGGCGCAACCCCGUCGUGCCGUUGAAACUGAUGUUCUUGAGUGGGCGAGAAGUAUGCGGAAUGCGUGGUGUAGCGGUGAAAUGCUUAGAUAUCACGAAGAACUCCGAUUGCGAAGGCAGCUCACUGGACUGCAACUGACACUGAGGCUCGAAAGUGUGGGUAUCAAACAGGAUUAGAUACCCCUGUAGUC
rnacentral:rRNA from 1 species